rfam:TPA: Bos taurus chromosome 17, whole genome shotgun sequence.
UCCUUGGUGGCUCAGCGGUUAAAGCGUCUGCCUGCAAUGCAGGAGACCUGGGUUCAAUCCCUGGGCCAGGAA